rnacentral:rRNA from 1 species
GAUGAACGCUGGCGGCGUGCUUAACACAUGCAAGUCGAACGGAAAGGCCCAAGCUUUCUUGGGUACUCGAGUGGCGAACGGGUGAGUAACACGUGGGUGAUCUGCCCUGCACUUUGGGAUAAGUCUGGGAAACUGGGUCUAAUACCGGAUAGGACCUCCUCUUGGAUGUUGUGGUGGGAAGAUUUUUCGGUGUGGGAUGAGCUCGCGGCCUAUCAGCUUGUUGGUGGGGUAAUGGCCUACCAAGGCGUCGACGGGUAGCCGGCCUGAGAGGGUGUACGGCCACAUUGGGACUGAGAUACGGCCCAGACUCCUACGGGAGGCAGCAGUGGGGAAUAUUGCACAAUGGGCGCAAGCCUGAUGCAGCGACGCCGCGUGGGGGAUGACGGCCUUCGGGUUGUAAACUCCUUUCGCUAGGGACGAAGCGUUUUGUGACGGUACCUGGAGAAGAAGCACCGGCUAACUACGUG